rnacentral:rRNA from 1 species
AUUGAACGCUGGCGGCAGGCUUAACACAUGCAAGUCGAGCGGAGAUGAGGUGCUUGCACCUUAUCUUAGCGGCGGACGGGUGAGUAAUGCUUAGGAAUCUGCCUAUUAGUGGGGGACAACUUUCCGAAAGGAAUGCUAAUACCGCAUACGCCCUACGGGGGAAAGCAGGGGAUCUUCGGACCUUGCGCUAAUAGAUGAGCCUAAGUCGGAUUAGCUAGUUGGUGGGGUAAAGGCCUACCAAGGCGACGAUCUGUAGCGGGUCUGAGAGGAUGAUCCGCCACACUGGGACUGAGACACGGCCCAGACUCCUACGGGAGGCAGCAGUGGGGAAUAUUGGACAAUGGGCGGAAGCCUGAUCCAGCCAUGCCGCGUGUGUGAAGAAGGCCUUUUGGUUGUAAAGCACUGUAAGCGAGGAGGAGGCUACCUGGAUUAAUACUCUAGGAUAGUGGACGUUACUCGCAGAAUAAGCACCGGCUAACUCUGUGCCAGCCGCCGCUGUAACAC